GGUUUUAAUAUCGCAGUUAUCAUUCCGCAGGUAAACGGGGUGCGUUUCAUCACCAUCACCAAAGGACAGGUUCUGAUCAUUUGGAAGGAUCACUGCAUCGCAACAAAGUGUAUAAAGACAUACAAAGUGGAAUUUUCCAAAGAUGAGACGACUUUCCAGAGGAUUAAUCAGAGAGAGACUAUUUUCACAUACUUCACUUAUUCUCCAGAGAGUCUGGAGGUGAGCGGAUACUAUAGAGUAAGAGCCGUGGAUUACUGGGGAAGAAAUGGAGAAUAUUCUGUCACUGAGAAAUAUUCGGAGAACCGGUAUUCUUGAUUAGACCGACUUAUGACUUUCCACAUACAAUAUAGUUCACUUUGUAUCUUAUUUUGAUAUUAAAAAAAAGCUCACUAGGACAGCAUGACAUUGGUUUGACCAACAUGUAAAUUGUCCGAACAGAGUUAAUUUUUUUUUUUUUUAUAUAUGUAAUUUCGGACUGGUUAUCUGAUGCCGCAAUAAUUUACCUUAAACACAACUAUUUUAAGUCUACGCAGCCUAUGUUUGCCAUAAUUGUAUUCAACAUGCAUACAAGACCAUCCAUGGGUAUAUCGGAGAUAAAAAUAGAUUGAAUGGACUGGAUGAUGAAUUUGAACAACAACUACUAAGUUUUAUUUACAGUAUUUCCAUA